GACGAACGCUGGCGGCGUGCUUAACACAUGCAAGUCGAACGGAAAGGCCUCUUUCGGGGGGUACUCGAGUGGCGAACGGGUGAGUAACACGUGAGUAACCUGCCCUUGACUUUGGGAUAACUUCAGGAAACUGGGGCUAAUACCGGAUAGGAGCUCCUGCUGCAUGGUGGGGGGUGGAAAGUUUCGGCGGUUGGGGAUGGACUCGCGGCUUAUCAGCUUGUUGGUGGGGUAGUGGCUUACCAAGGCUUUGACGGGUAGCCGGCCUGAGAGGGUGACCGGCCACAUUGGGACUGAGAUACGGCCCAGACUCCUACGGGAGGCAGCAGUGGGGAAUAUUGCACAAUGGGUGGAAGCCUGAUGCAGCAACGCCGUGUGCGGGAUGACGGCCUUCGGGUUGUAAACCGCUUUCGCUCAUGACGAAGCUUUGUGUGACGGUAGUGGGUAAAGAAGCACCGGCUAACUACGUG
rnacentral:rRNA from 1 species